rnacentral:lncRNA from 1 species
GUUAGUGGAGCUCGAAGAGAAAAUCUCUGAAGAGCCAAGAGCUAUAGAUCCUCAGGAAUCCAUAGUCCAUGAGCCAGUAGUUGAUGUUCCUCUACCACCUCGUAGAUCUAGCUGGGUCUUCCAACCUCCUGAAAGGUACAUGGGUAUGCUUACGGAGAAAGUAAAGAAAAUGUUCCUUAUAGGAGAAAAGGGUCAUACUGAUGAUCCUAAUAUCUUUGAUGAGGUGAUGUCUGACAUUGAUUUUGAGAAAUGAUUAGAUACUAUGAAGUUAGAAAUUAACUCAAUGCACUCGAAUUAAGUAUGGA